CUGGAAACGACUGCUAAUACCCAAUAUGCCGAGAGGUGAAACUUAUAUGGCCAGAGGAUGAGCUCGCGUCUGAUUAGCUAGUUGGAGUGGUAACGGCACACCAAGGCGACGAUCAGUAGCUGGUCUGAGAGGAUGAUCAGCCACACUGGGACUGAGACACGGCCCAGACUCCUACGGGAGGCAGCAGUGGGGAAUUUUCCGCAAUGGGCGAAAGCCUGACGGAGCAAGACCGCGUGAGGGAGGAAGGCCUACUGGUUGUAAACCUCUUUUGAUAGGGAAGAAGAAAGUGACGGUACCUAUCGAAUCAGCAUCGGCUAACUCCGUGCCAGCAGCCGCGGUAAUACGGAGGAUGCAAGCGUUAUCCGGAAUUAUUGGGCGUAAAGCGUCCGUAGGUGGUUAUUCAAGUCAGCUGUCAAAGGAUGGAGCUUAACUCCAUAAAGGCAGUUGAAACUGUGUAGCUAGAGUGCGAUAGGGGCAAGGGGAAUUCCCAGUGUAGCGGUGAAAUGCGUAGAUAUUGGGAAGAACAUCGGUGGCGAAAGCGCCUUGCUGGGUCUGCACUGACACUGAGGGACGAAAGCUAGGGGAGCGAAAGGGAUUAGAUACCCCUGUAGUCA
rnacentral:rRNA from 1 species